rnacentral:pre_miRNA from 1 species
AAUGGCACUGGAAGAAUUCACGGGAAGAGGCACAUUGAGACGGCCCCCGUGGCUCUCCAGUGCUGUACC